rnacentral:lncRNA from 1 species
AAAACCACGGCCCUGAGAGGAGCAACUGAUAUCACUAUAGUAAGGAAUUUUACACUUUGCAGGUCCGAGUAAAAUACUCGAAGACCACUACAACACUCAAGAGAAAAUAACACUCUUUUGAUAUUUCCACCUCACUACAAUGUGGCUCACUCUCUAUUUUCCUCACAGACUAUUUUCUUAUACUCUGUCUGUGAAACCUUACUCUUUUCUCUCUUUCUGUUGGUGUAUAAAAAUGAGAGCCGAAGCUCUCAUUUUAUAGGCAAAAAAUAGGCAGCCUUUCCGUUUCUGCAGCACACCCUUCUUGACAAAAUUAAUCAAACAAAUUAAAAUGUGG